UGUGUCUGAAAAUUCCCCUCAGGAUUGGUGGUGCUGUUCAUGAAGGAGAGAACCAGCACUAUGUAACCAGGCAGCUGUAAACCUUCAGCUGCAGUCCACUGACAGGAAUCUAUAGACCAUCAGUUUGCGAAUCCUCUGCUUUAGACCUCUAAACGAUUCAGCAUUUACGGGUCAGCUAAAUCAAAGGAGGUGAUCCUUAUUCUGAAGAAACAGUCUGGGUAGGGAGGUGGGUUGUCCUGCUUCCACUGUCCUAGGAAUAAAGGUAAGCCUUCUUUGAGAGCCUUCA
rnacentral:lncRNA from 1 species